rnacentral:rRNA from 1 species
UUAUUAGGGUCUAAAGGGUCCGUAGCCGGUUGGUCAGUCCUCCGGGAAAUCUGAUAGCUCAACUAUUAGGGCUUCGGGGAGUACUGCCAGACUUGGAACCGGGAGAGGUAAGAGGUACUACAGGGUAGGAGUGAAAUCUUGUAAUCCCUGUGGGACCACCGUGUAGGCGAAGGCGUCUUACCAGAACGGGUUCGACGGUGAGGGACGAAAGCUGGGGGCACGAACCGGAUUAGAUACCCGGGUAGUCCCAGCCGUAAACGAUGCUCGCUAGGUGUCAGGCAUGGCGCGACCGUGUCUGGUGCCGCAGGGAAGCCGUGAAGCGAGCCACCUGGGAAGUACGGCCGCAAGGCUGAAACUUAAAGGAAUUGGCGGGGGAGCACAACAACGGGUGGAGCCCUGCGGUUUAAUUGGACUCAACGCCGGACAACUCACCGGGGGCGACAGCAAUAUGUAGGCCAAGCUGAAGACUUUGCCUGAAUCGCUGAGAAGUGGUGCAUGG